rnacentral:rRNA from 1 species
UACGGAGGGUGCAAGCGUUAAUCGGAAUUACUGGGCGUAAAGGGUGCGCAGGCGGCGUCGCAAGUCAGGCGUGAAAUCCCCGGGCUUAACCUGGGAACUGCACUUGAAACUACGAUGCUGGAGUAUGGCAGAGGGAGGUGGAAUUCCACGUGUAGCGGUGAAAUGCGUAGAGAUGUGGAGGAACACCGAUGGCGAAGGCAGCCUCCUGGGCCAAUACUGACGCUCAUGCACGAAAGCGUGGGGAGCAAACAGG